rfam:Hydrogenophilaceae bacterium CG1_02_62_390 cg_0.2_sub10_scaffold_943_c, whole genome shotgun sequence.
GAACUGAAGAGUUUGAUCCUGGCUCAGAUUGAACGCUGGCGGCAUGCUUUACACAUGCAAGUCGAACGGCAGCAUGGGCUUCGGCCUGAUG